UUAAAAAAAAAAAAAGAAAGAAAGAAAAGGGAGAAAGAAAGUGAGAAUGCAGUCUUCUGUAAACUUUAUAAUUUGGGGCUGCAAGUUUAGUCUCGAGCACCACAGUUGAGCAUUAGAAAGAGCCUGGGCAACCCUCUCAUCCAACCACUUCCUGUUAUAGCAGUUCAUUGUCCUAAACUUCAAUCCAUCCAAAAAUCCUAAUUUCAUGACCACUACUGUCUUAAUCUGUUCAGGGCAACAUAACAAAAUACCAUAGACUGGGUGGUUAACUCACAGAAAUUCCUUUCUCAUAGUUCUAGAGGCUGGAAGUCUAAGACCAGGGUGCCAGUGUGGUCGGGUUCUGGUGAGGACCCUCUUCCUGUCUUGCAGAUGGCCCAGAUGACCGCCUUCCCUCUGUGUGCUGACAGACCCUUCCCUAGGAGUGAGUGAGCAGAAGGAGACAGAGCAAGCUCUCUGGUAAGAAAAUUGAAGUACAAGAAGAAGGUCCCAGCCUGGAUUCAAGCCCAGACUCCAGAGCCUCUGUGGUUUCUUGUUUUAUUAACGUUUAUCCACCUGGUCUUUUAUGGCACUUCGUUCAUUAGUGAUUACACUAAAGAAGUUGUCUAACCUGUGCUGCUGCUCCCAGUGUGGCCCCAAGACUGUGCCUUUGGGGAACUGUUUGUCACCAGUCCUCGACAAGAUUUGAAUUAAAACCCAAGACUUUUGAGAAGAGUCAGCUCUUGAAGAUGACUUAUGCCAAUGCUAAACUUCACAGACUCUCAAGCACAUAGCAUCUUGCACAUUGUAGAUGCUUCCUAAAUGUUUGCAGAAAAAAAAGGAAGUCAGGAAGGACAGAGAGAGCAUGGGACCUCUUCUGGUUCAAAAAAACAACUGUAAUCUGGAGCUACUGAUAUUUGGGAUCAUACAUAUCUUAAUCUAUUCCAUGUAAAUAAAAUGAAACCAUACUUAGCCAAA